rnacentral:rRNA from 1 species
GACGAACGCUGGCGGCGUGCUUAACACAUGCAAGUCGAACGAAGUGGCGCACGGGUGAGUAACGCGUAAUCAACCUGCACUUCAGAGGGGGACAACAGUUGGAAACGACUGCUAAUACCGCAUACUGAAGGAUGGGAUUGCGUCUGAUUAGCUAUUUGGAGGGGUAACGGCCCACCACGGAGAUGCUCAGUAGCCGGUCUUGGAGGAUGAACGGCCACAUUGGGACUGAGACACGGCCCAGACUCCUACGGGAGGCAGCAGUGGGGAAUGUUCCGAAAUGGACGAAAGUCUGACGGAGCAACGCCGCGUGAGUGAUGACGGCCUUCGGGUUGUAAAGCUCUGUUAAUCGGGACGCGGUACCGGAAUAGAAAGCCACGGCUAACUACGUGCCAGCAGCCGCGGUAAUUC